GAUGAACGCUGGCGGCGUGCCUAAUACAUGCAAGUCGAGCGAACAGACGAGGAGCUUGCUCCUUCGACGUUAGCGGCGGACGGGUGAGUAACACGUAGGUAACCUACCUAUAAGACUGGGAUAACUUCGGGAAACCGGAGCUAAUACCGGAUAAUAUUUCGAACCGCAUGGUUCGAUAGUGAAAGAUGGCUUUGCUAUCACUUAUAGAUGGACCUGCGCCGUAUUAGCUAGUUGGUAAGGUAACGGCUUACCAAGGCAACGAUACGUAGCCGACCUGAGAGGGUGAUCGGCCACACUGGAACUGAGACACGGUCCAGACUCCUACGGGAGGCAGCAGUAGGGAAUCUUCCGCAAAGGGCGAAAGCCUGACGGAGCAACGCCGCGUGAGUGAUGAAGGUCUUCGGAUCGUAAAACUCUGUUAUUAGGGAAGAACAAACGUGUAAGUAACUGUGCACGUCUUGACGGUACCUAAUCAGAAAGCCACGGCCAACUACGUG
rnacentral:rRNA from 1 species